rnacentral:rRNA from 1 species
UACGUAGGGUGCGAGCGUUGUCCGGAAUUACUGGGCGUAAAGAGCUCGUAGGUGGUUUGUCGCGUUGUUCGUGAAAACUCACAGCUUAACUGUGGGCGUGCGGGCGAUACGGGCAGACUGGAGUACUGCAGGGGAGACUGGAAUUCCUGGUGUAGCGGUGGAAUGCGCAGAUAUCAGGAGGAACACCGGUGGCGAAGGCGGGUCUCUGGGCCAUUACUGACACUGAGAAGCGAAAGCAUGGGGGAGCGAACAGG